GUAAAUAUAAUUUAAUAAAAAUUCUAGUUUGUGAAACUAGCAAUAGGAGACUUAAUCUUCUUAUUUACC
rnacentral:tRNA from 1 species